rnacentral:rRNA from 1 species
GCCGUUAAACACCCAACUUCUGAAAUGUUGACCUCGGAUCAGGUAGGAAUACCCGCUGAACUUAAGCAUAUCAAUAAGCGGAGGAA